rnacentral:lncRNA from 1 species
CAAACAUUCAUGCAGAAAAUGAAUAUAAUUCCUGGAUUUGCAUUGGUUUUACCGGCGUUCAGUAACUGUCAGCUGCAAACAAAAAUGUCCAAAUUUUGUCCGACUUAUACGAGGGUCAAGACUAAAUCCUCAGAAUUUGGAGCUGAAAAGGGCAUCCGACUUAUAGUCGGAUCGACUUAUAAGCGAGUAGCUACGGUAUGUAUUUUAUAAUUGUCUUAAAAACUUAAGCAUUUUUUAUUCAGAAAUAACUCAUAUUUAUCAAAUGGUCAUGAAUUGAGAAAAAAAAAGUAAUUUUUUACUGUAUAUUUAUCAACAUUAAAAAAAUUGCACUAUUUACAGUUUUAUAAAAUUUGGUUCAUAUAAUCUCCCUGCAAAAUGAAACAAAAUUUCAUUUUAAAAAAUAGGGGUCCAUGCACUUGUUUUCAAAUUAAAUCAGUUUGAAUGAUAAAAAUCAGUUGGAAAAUGCAUCUUUUCUCGGUAUGUCACAGUUUGACGUCGCAAAAAUAACAUUUUACGUUAGCAACGUCAUUACCUCCCCUGUUACUGUAUCAUAUGCCCUUAACAUUAAACCCAACAUCCUGUUUGAGUAUAGGACAUAUCAUGGUCAGUCUGAGACAGAUAAAAUUUGAACUAAAUUAAGCACCUCUGUUGCAUCUCUGCCAGAGACAAACUGCCAAGGUCAUUCAAAAGAUUUGAAAAUUUUUUUUGCUGCUCAUCCAACAUGAAUGCAACAUGGAUUUAGAGCAAAGUCUGAUGGACCCUAGUCAAAAAAAUAUAUCCUCAAGAGGACUGACACAUCCCCUGGCAAACUGUCACUUUUUGAUCUAGAACAUUGGAAUGUUGGUUUAGUACAAACAGUGUUCAUAUUUAUAUUUUAUACUAUUGAUUGUGGAGAAAUGACUGGUUGAAUAUAAAACUUCUACUAUUAACAUCUAAAUAUCAUGAGGCUGACCAAAUUGUUUUUCAAAACACAGUGCAUUUGUAUAUUUGACUUGAAUUAUUCAGCCCCCAAAACCUGGUUUCUUGCUGCUGUAUCCUCUCCAAGCUCCCUUUGCUCAUUGUGUCAGUCUGCAAAAUAAAUUAGAACCAGCAGGAGACUGACAUAGAAUCGUUAAGACAGGUAGUUGAACAAUUAGUCUGACAUGUUAACUCUGUGUUUAAAAUCACGGAAGAAAUGCCAAGUACAAUCACAAGAUUGAUCUAAUGAGAAAAACACAAAGUCUAAAUUCUCCAAAUGUUUUUCUAACAAUAUAUAAUUAGAUAAAAAUAUGGAGAUUUCUUGUAAAUCUUUUAUCUGUAGUUUACAAAUGUUGUGAAAGAAAAUCUGUCACACAGAAAACAUAUAUUUUCACUAAUGAUCUUGCACUUCUAUGAUCCUGGUCUUAACUAGAUUUUAAUGUUAUACCUUUCUACCUUUUUGAGAUUGCUGCAAGAAUUUGAACUGAAAAUCAAACUGUUUUAUGCUUUCAACAAGUAAAGUUGACUUAAAUAUCAAACUUGUUUGUCUGUUUUCAAAGUCAGGUCUUUGUUAUUUCUAUUGGAGAUACUUUAGAGUGAAUUUUAUCAAACUUAACACAAAUCAGGCUGUAGGUUUUUAUCCUCCUGUGCUCAUGAAGAAGUGGGGUAUGGAAAGCUUGCAUAAUUGGUAGGAUUUGUCCAUAUUAUACUUUUAUUUUGAUUUUACCAUUUUUACAGGAGUUGUCUAUGCUUUACCACCAAUUGUAUUGCUCAUUUGCACACAGUGGCUGGGACCCUAUGGGAUAACAAUGUUGUCUCUAUUGAAGUGUUUCACAUUUUGUAUUUCUCUUACUGGGUUCUUUUAUAGCUUCUAGACAGUAUGGAUUUUGUUCAUUAAAGAAGAUUUUAUGGUGAUUUAUAAUUGUUUACAUCAAUGUUCUUUGGUCAUUAAGGGGAGCAAUCCAGAUUAAACAAGACUGUGUUAAUAUUGUUCUGUUGACUAUGCUAAUUUUACUGCAUAGUAAGUGGUACACCUUUUUACUCCUCUUUACAUUGCCAAAAGUUUCUGGUCAACUGUAACCUGCAUGUUUUACAAAACUAUAUGGCUUUUUUUUAGACUCCAGCAUUAGAAUAUUCCAAAUAAGCUAUUGCUGAUAAUAUUAGAUUGCUUUGAUUGACAUUAUGUUGCAGGGGAGGCAGUGUUUAAAAAAAAAAUAUGUUUGAUGCACAAGUCUGGAUUUUAGUUGUUGAUUUGGGAUGAAUAGAAAAUGUGAUAAGUUUACCACUCCACCAUCUGGAAAAAUAAAGAAAAAAAGGAAACAGUUGUAAUAGAAAUAAUGUAAUGCAGUAUAAUCCAGUAAUUAAUGUAUAAAUACCUAAAACUGACUUAAUUAUUCAGGUCCCACUGGGGCAGAUGAUGAAUUUAUAAUGCAUUGUAGAAAUGACUUUAUAUUAUAAAGCAUUAAUUUCUGUUUAAAAUCUGCAAUCUCAUGUUAAAUCUAAAACGUGCAACCCUAUACUAAUUCACUACUAGUUCAUCAUUUCAUUUAAAUUAAGUUUUCCUGUGUUAUUCCAAAAUUACGCAAUGAAUAUGAAUGAUAUUUAUGUUAUUUAAUUCUACAAAAAAUGUAUAAAACAUGAUUAUUGAAUAGACUAUUUAAUGCCCCCAUACAAUUGAAGCUCUCUCCUGCAUUAAAACAUUGUUAAUUCACAAUAUGCUCAAGUCAUUUGGUCAUUCAGAUAAGGUGCCAAUAAUUUGUAAUAAUAAAAACAAAUGGAUAAAAGACGCAAAUGGCCUGUGAGGUUUCAUUGCAUAUGGCUUUGUGAUUUGAAAGCCAUUUAAAGAGUAGUGAUCCCCUUCUACGUUUUGCUAUGCUAAACACAGUGUAUGUGUCUUUUUAGUACAGUAAGUUGAUAUCUACUGAUUUCUUCAAAUUAGUGAAUCAGUCUGAGGGACACUAGUUCUAAGUAGAUAGCUAAGCUGUUGUAUAUAUAGACUUUGGUUAGAAGAUAUAUUACUUUUACACAUUUCUCAAAAACAUAAAUUGAGAUGCACACUUUUUAUAUAUUCUUGAUAUUUUUUGUUGGACGGAUUUGGUAUUUUUGUUUAAUUUAUUUAGUUGACAGGGAGUUGAUGACACAAAAUGGCUACCUUUUAUUAAAUAUGUGUGUAUAUUAAUUAAGGUAUAUUGAAAUAAAGAGAUGUGGUAAUAAUUGCCAAUGAGACAAAAUCAAAAGUUUCAUCAUUGGUGUUGCUGAGUUUGUGUUUUGAGUAAUAUUGUUUGCCUGUUGGCCUUUUGUCUUUUUUAGCCAUGGUUUUGUCAGUUUAUUUUUAACUUGUGAGUUUGAAUGUCCUUUUUGGUAUCUUUUUCCUCUCUUUGAAAAUCUGCAAAAUAUGCCCCAAUUGUGUAGCGUAAUUCAUUAUGAGAUGUUCAUUUUCAUUUGAUAUGAAAAGUCUAAUAAGGAUUUUCAGUAAAAACUGGAAGAAGAGUUUAUUAGACAGAACAUGUAUCCUUAGUAUUUUUUCCCCACACGGUCAUUCCACCUGUUAUUGUGUUUGAGUGUCAACACAAACACAAUUGCUAUACUUUCAACGAAAAAAACCUUGCAAUGCAUUUGUGUAUAAAAACUGAAUGUCAGUGAAACAUUGUUAGUUCUAUAGUUAAUUGUAGAAUCAUUCUGUUUGACCAGUAAGGUGUAUCCAGUCUGGUUUACUUUCAUUGUCUUUUCAACUUGCAGAAAGUCAGUCAUAUAAUAAUCAGAUUUGUACUUUUACAAUGGCUAACCUGUUAAUUGUAUAAAACCAAGAUAGAGGUGGAGUAUUCCUGGAGACUACAAUAAUUUAAAAAUUUACAGAAUGCUCUCUUUUUAUGUAAAAUCUGGACCAUAAAGCCGUAAACUUUUGUCAGCCGUUGAGAAAUUAUAAGACAAUAUUUUACGCAUAUGUAAGUUUACUUUUAGAUUAACUCUUGCAUACGAAUAGAUAGCAUCAGGGAGAGAAUCCCAUUGUUCAUUUAGAUUUAAAUGAUAAAUGUAAAUUUAUCGUGUCGUCGUUAAAAAUUGUCUUGCGCUAUACACAAAUUUUGUAUGAAAAUGAAUCUAGUGCCCUUGUCCCUUCAAUUAUAUUGUACAUUUAACCUCCACAUUUUCCACCGUUUUUAUCAAAUCUCGGUAGGAGAUAGUUUUCGUGUAAAUUGAUGAUUUAUUUCAUUUAAAAGAACAUUGCAAGUCCUAAACAUGAUUUUAUUUAGGAGGAUAUUAUUUUUAAAUGCAGUUUAUUUUUCAAAUUAUAAAGUAAAGGUACAUAAAUUAAGCUGUUAGUUUUCUCAUUUGAAUUGUUUUACAUUGUUAUUUUGGGGCCUUUUAUAGCUGACUAUGCGGUAUGGGCUGUGCUGUACUUGUUGAAGGCUGUACAGUGACCUAUAGUUGUUAAUUUCUGUUUCAUUUUGGUCUCUUGUGGAGAGUUGUCUCAUUGGCAGUCAUACCACAUCUUCUUUUUUCAUAGUAAUUGUUCCUUUUUCUGAUGUAUUAUGAUAUUUUGAUGGUGAAUAACAAAACCCAGUUUUUCAGUAUGCAGUUUUACCUUUUGGACAUAUUUUUUCUUCAAAUUAAGUUUUUGUUUAUUUGAUAAUUAAAGGCGUUAAGACUGUCUAUCUGCAGCAUAACAAAUUGAUAAUAACUAUGAAGGCAGGCUUAGGGAGCAAUUCUUAGAAUCUGUCAAGGCAUAACACCACUCAUUAACUUCUAUGAUUAGUUUUGUUAGAAACUUAUUGGAGGCCAUUUGAAUUCCAAUUAAAUACUCUACAAUAAUGUUACAAACAAUUUCCUUGUCGUCUUGAAAGUGACAAAAACAUUAAUGAACAAAAUGUUUAAUAUUUGUCAAAAAUAAUGGUGUUGUCUCUUUGAAUUCUGGUUAAUUAAGAUAAAAUAGGAUGUGGAUAUACGUCAAUGAGACAUCAACCCUUUGACAUAAAUACAAAAAGACAUUUACAGGUCAACAUACUGUCUUCAACAAUAGGAAAGUGUCUACAGCAUAGAUCAAGCUUUCAAAUCAUUUCAGUGUAGACAUAAAAGAAUAUAUCUAAACGAGAACUUAUCUAAUUCCUAUCAACACCAAAUUCUGCACACAAAAAAAACCACCAAAAAAACACCAUGAAUUAAAAUAUAUGACAUUAACUAUGCUAGCUUUUAUGAUGGAUAAUACAGACUUUAAUUAUUAGAUGAUCAUAAUAUAAAUUAAAAAAAUUUGUGAAAAAGGGGUAUUUGAGUAUUUAAUUGAAAUUCGAAAUCCUCAAGUAAGUGUCUUCAAUUGUUUAAAUUUAGUGAAAAAAGAAGAACAAUAAUUAUGUUAUUAAGAUGAUUUUUAUUUUAUUUUGAACCAUAAAUCUGUAGGAUUUCUUAUAAGAUUUAAUAAUACGACCUCAGCUUUGCAAUAUCUGUGUUAACAGAAUGCUAUACAGCAUAGAAAUGACCAAAACAAGCUUACUCACCAUCUGAUGGGAGGAAGGAAGAUAGGGAACUUCAGAAGUUACUUAACUCCCUGUAAAAAGUUUAAAACAUGGUUUCACACUGUCUCCUACAAACAAUUUACUGUAACAUCUCAUCUCAAACCAAUAGAUUUAUAGAACUGUAUGAUGUUUCCCUGAAAAAAUCCAUAUUGAAUUAAUAUAGAAUUUUAAAGAAAAAUCUACUUAUUUAGAUGUGAAUACUAUUGAUUUAGCCUUGCAUAGUCAAUUAUAGAUAUAGGUAUCAAACAGUAAAAAUGUACUCAUACUUUAACAUGACUAUGUCUAGUGAAUAAUUUCAGCAUCAUGUCAACACUACCUUAUAAGUGAAAAUUUUGGAUACAGGUCUGAAUUUUUAAAAUCACAUACAUGUUGCUGGUUUCAUACAAAACUAUAAUGAAAAUCUUAUACAAUGCUAUGGUUUUAUCAGGGGAAAUGAUUAAGUUGCUGUUUGAGGCAUAUUUGUUAACCAGGAAUAGUCCUUCAUCUAGUCAAAUACUAUUGUAAUUUUAGAAUUUGUGAGGAUUUUUUCAUAAGGAAGUCAACUUUUGCUUAGUAAUUGUUGCUCUAUAUUUAUGUCCAUUUGAGUUAAACUGAAUUAGAUUUGUAGGAAGAUAUCAUUUGUAUAAGUUACAGUUUAAUACAAAAAUGUUCAAAAUUGUAAAAUAAUACUUCAAUAAUUUGUUCUGAAAUACUGUCAUUGUUUGUAUAUCUUGAUCAAAAGAUAAAGCUUAAGGUGUUCAUUUUAUACAGGUAACUAACGAGGGAGGAAACUUUAUCCUCUCAGGUGAGAGAGGGGGUAAUCAACUGAAAACAUACAUGGAUGGUCCUGAAACAUGUUGCAACUCCAUUCAUUCUGCCAUGUUACAAUUCAACAUCAUCACUGCUUCAAUGAUUCUGCCUUAUAUUGUAUGUUACAUCAUUUCGUUUCACAAACAAAAAACAAACAUCUUAUUGUGUUAUGCCAUGUUCAUUCAUAAUAAGGACAGGUGUACACAUUGUUUUCAUUCCAACCAACUGUCUUAUAUAAAUACCGGCUGUUUGGCUUAGUUGCAACUUUUUAAACUCAUUCUUUUUGCUUAUUAUGAGAAAAGUUUUCCUGAAAUAUGAUGAGAACAAAUUCAGUAUGAUUUUGUUUUAAUCUUUCAAUUUAGUAAGUAAACUCAAUGUUAAUUCAGAGGUCUUGGGACUGCAAAUCUGACUGUCUUUUGAUUGUUUAUUAUUCAAGAUAAAAUUCGGUUAUUUUUUAGAGCUAUAAUCUGUUACUUUUUAGUCUGACCUUCAAAAUAUAUUAGAACUGUUAGAAUCCUAGUAAAUAGUGACUUAUUAGAGUCUAUAGGAGGUAGAGAAUUCCAGUGUUGGGUUACCUCCCCUACUUCUGAAGUACAGUAGACAUGUGCCCUGCUUGUCAGCAAGGUUAAAUGUCUAUUGAUUACAAUACAUACAUUAGAAGAUAAGCAUCAAUUAGUUUUAAUAAAGAUGACAUCAUUUUAAUUGUCUUUUGUGUCUUGUUGAAUGAAAUGUUUUAAAUCUCAAGGAUAAAACAAUCAUUGGAGAUCUACAUGGUUUUGUACAAUACACAACUGAUAAAUCUAGAGAUAUUGCUUGAUGACCAAUCAGUCAGAUGUCGGACUUUUCAUCUGUAUAUUGAUGACCAAUCGGUAAAGUAUUGGGACUGUUGUCUGACUAUCAAAAGACCAUCUGUAUUUAUAGAUCAGUGAUUCAUUACUUACGUACACCUGUCUUAUACUUACAUGUUAUGUGGUUACUGUCAUGGAAUCAAAGAAUCAAAUGUUCCAUAUGUUUGUAUCUAACUUUCAAAUAUACAUUAGAAUACUUUUAUUUUAGCAAUUAUGCAGAUAAUAUUUAGCAUUACAGUUUCCAUUCAGCAUUCUUUGGGUAUUUUAUUUGCAAAAAUUGGAAAAUAUGAAGUGACUUGUUUCUACCAAAUGACAUUUUAUUCUAACUACUAGUAACAUAAUCUUAAAUGAUACCUUAGGCUUCAUCUAGUUAAGUUAUACCUUAUGACAGGCUUUCAGUUCCUUCUAUGAUCCACUUCCUGAUUAACAAGAUGUUGCAUCUUAAACAUACUUAUAUGAACUCUUUUUCACCUUUUUAUGCCCCACCUACGAUAGAAGAGGGGCAUCAUGUUUUCUGGUCUGUGCAUCUGUUCGUUCAGCCGUGCAUCCUUUUGUCUGUGUGUCCGUUCAUCCGUCUGUCCUGCUUCAGGUUAAAGUUUUUGGUCAAGGUAGUUUUUAAUCAACUUGAAACUUAGUACACAAGUUCCCUAUGAUAUGAUCUUUCUAAUUUUAAUGCCAAAUUAGAAUUUUUACCCCAAUUUCGCGGUCCACUGAACGUAUAAAAUGAUAGUAGGAGUGGGGCAUCUGUGUACUGUGGACACAUUCUUGUUCUCAGCAGAUAUAAGUCAUGGCUUUUUAGAAUAUGACACCUUAGCUUCAUUUAGUUAUGCCAUCUUGUAUGAAGCAUUUAUGUGUCCUUCAAUGUUCUAUGCCUUGUUUGGCAAAGAUGUAAAUCUUGAGCAGAAUUAUAAUUAGUGAGCAAUAGCUUGUAAUAAUACAUAAUGUUACUCUUAGAUUUAAUGUCUGCUGUCUGCUUUGUCCCCUUGCAAUUUUGGUAUAAAUAUAAAUUUUUAAUUUGACCUCGCUUGCAAAAACAUUAUAUCAGAAAUAAUUGAUAACCCAAGCCAGAAUUUUCUUCAUAUAGUCACUGUUAUGUUUUUAUUACAGGGAGGUCUUGCUGAUAAAAGUGAAGCAUUUAAAAGAUAAUUAGUUUAUUAUUCCUUAUGCCUAUGUUACUUGUUGAUAGUAAAAGGUUGGAAAUAUCGAAAGUACAUACUAAACUUCUAAGACUUAAUACAAAAUAAAAUCAAUUAAGUGUCAUCUUUGUCAGGGUAUUUUGUAGCUCUUCCAGACACUAAAUAGGCUAAUGUUUAAACUACUCUAUCUAUUUAUUGUAAUCAGCUCAGCUAAACCAAUGGAUAGUUUACUUUAAACAAACACAAAAAUGGACCUCAAGUGUUUACUUAUGUGAACAGUAAUUACUGCGACUUUUUUGUUGAACCAAUCCAUAACCAGGCAAGAUUUAUCUUCCCUUGAGCAAACAGUCUUGGCCAUGUUUAACAGGCACGAUUGCUGAAUUAACCACGUCUUGUCAUAGACAAAGGGAGAACUCCGCAGAUUUUCAAGAUGUUUGUAAAUAUUGUUUCUCUUCUAAAAAACACCUCACAAAGCUGGCUACUAGAAAUAGAUUUCACUUUGUGUCAAAUAUUUAUCUAGUCUUUAACUGGGGGUUGACAGACAAUUUGUGAACAAAAAAUUGUUUACCUAAAAUAUUACACAAGUUUCUGUCUGG